rnacentral:rRNA from 1 species
UACGGAAGGCAGCAGUGGGGAAUAUUGCACAAUGGGCGCAAGCCUGAUGCAGCCAUGCCGCGUGUAUGAAAAAGGCCUUCGGGUUGUAAAGUACUUUCAGUCGUGAGGAAGGUGUUAAGGUUAAUAACCUUAGCAAUUGACGUUAGCGACAGAAGAAGCACCGGCUAACUCCGUGCCAGCAGCCGCGGUAAUACGGAGGGUGCGAGCGUUAAUCGGAAUUACUGGGCGUAAAGGGCACGCAGGCGGUUAAUUAAGUUGGAUGUGAAAUCCCCGGGCUUAACCUGGGAAUGGCAUUCAAGACUGGUUAGCUAGAGUCUUGUAGAGGGAGGUAGAAUUCCAUGUGUAGCGGUGAAAUGCGUAGAGAUGUGGAGGAAUACCGGUGGCGAAGGCGGCCCCUGGGACAAAGACUGACGCUCAUGUGCGAAAGCGUGGGGAGCGAAACAGGGAUUAGAUACC